rnacentral:rRNA from 1 species
UCCGCCAGGGUACUACAAGCGCUAGCUUAAAACCCAAAGGACUUGACGGUGUCUCAGACCCACCUAGAGGAGCCUGUUCUAGAACCGAUAAUCCCCGUUAAACCUCACCACCCCUUGUUUUCCCCGCCUAUAUACCGCCGUCGCAAGCUUACCCUGUGAAGGUCCCAUAGUAAGCAAAAUGGGUAAAUCCCAAAACGUCAGGUCGAGGUGUAGCUCACGAGGUGGGAAGAAAUGGGCUACAUUUUCUAUAUCAGAAUAAUACGAACGGUACCAUGAAAUUGAUACCCGAAGGUGGAUUUAGUAGUAAAAA